UUGAAGAGUUUGAUCAUGGCUCAGAUUGAACGCUGGCGGCAGGCCUAACACAUGCAAGUCGAGCGGUAGCACAGAGAGCUUGCUCUCGGGUGACGAGCGGCGGACGGGUGAGUAAUGUCUGGGAAACUGCCUGAUGGAGGGGGAUAACUACUGGAAACGGUAGCUAAUACCGCAUAACGUCGCAAGACCAAAGUGGGGGACCUUCGGGCCUCAUGCCAUCAGAUGUGCCCAGAUGGGAUUAGCUAGUAGGUGGGGUAACGGCUCACCUAGGCGACGAUCCCUAGCUGGUCUGAGAGGAUGACCAGCCACACUGGAACUGAGACACGGUCCAGACUCCUACGGGAGGCAGCAGUGGGGAAUAUUGCACAAUGGGCGCAAGCCUGAUGCAGCCAUGCCGCGUGUGUGAAGAAGGCCUUCGGGUUGUAAAGCACUUUCAGCGGGGAGGAAGGCGGUGAGGUUAAUAACCUCAUCGAUUGACGUUACCCGCAGAAGAAGCACCGGCUAACUCCGUGCCAGCAGCCGCGGUAAUACGGAGGGUGCAAGCGUUAAUCGGAAUUACUGGGCGUAAAGCGCACGCAGGCGGUCUGUCAAGUCGGAUGUGAAAUCCCCGGGCUCAACCUGGGAACUGCAUUCGAAACUGGCAGGCUAGAGUCUUGUAGAGGGGGGUAGAAUUCCAGGUGUAGCGGUGAAAUGCGUAGAGAUCUGGAGGAAUACCGGUGGCGAAGGCGGCCCCCUGGACAAAGACUGACGCUCAGGUGCGAAAGCGUGGGGAGCAAACAGGAUUAGAUACCCUGGUAGUCCACGCUGUAAACGAUGUCGAUUUGGAGGUUGUGCCCUUGAGGCGUGGCUUCCGGAGCUAACGCGUUAAAUCGACCGCCUGGGGAGUACGGCCGCAAGGUUAAAACUCAAAUGAAUUGACGGGGGCCCGCACAAGCGGUGGAGCAUGUGGUUUAAUUCGAUGCAACGCGAAGAACCUUACCUGGUCUUGACAUCCACAGAACUUUCCAGAGAUGGAUUGGUGCCUUCGGGAACUGUGAGACAGGUGCUGCAUGGCUGUCGUCAGCUCGUGUUGUGAAAUGUUGGGUUAAGUCCCGCAACGAGCGCAACCCUUAUCCUUUGUUGCCAGCGGUUAGGCCGGGAACUCAAAGGAGACUGCCAGUGAUAAACUGGAGGAAGGUGGGGAUGACGUCAAGUCAUCAUGGCCCUUACGACCAGGGCUACACACGUGCUACAAUGGCAUAUACAAAGAGAAGCGACCUCGCGAGAGCAAGCGGACCUCAUAAAGUAUGUCGUAGUCCGGAUUGGAGUCUGCAACUCGACUCCAUGAAGUCGGAAUCGCUAGUAAUCGUAGAUCAGAAUGCUACGGUGAAUACGUUCCCGGGCCUUGUACACACCGCCCGUCACACCAUGGGAGUGGGUUGCAAAAGAAGUAGGUAGCUUAACCUUCGGGAGGGCGCUUACCACUUUGUGAUUCAUGACUGGGGUGAAGUCGUAACAAGGUAACCGUAGGGGAACCUGCGGUUGGAUCACCUCCUUA
rnacentral:rRNA from 1 species